UAUACUUGAGUUUCGACCUGAACUCAAGCGUGAGCACCCGCUGAACUUAAGCAUAUCAGUAAGCGGAGGAAAAGAAACUAACAAGGAUUCCCUUAGUAACGGCGAGUGAAA
rnacentral:rRNA from 1 species